rnacentral:rRNA from 1 species
UACGGAGGGGGCUAGCGUUAUUCGGAAUUAUUGGGCGUAAAGGGCGCGUAGGCGGCCCGGUAAGUCAAAGGUGAAAUCCCUCGGCUCAACUGAGGAACUGCCUUUGAAACUGUCGGGCUUGAGGCCGGGAGGGGGUAGCGGAAUUCCCAGUGUAGCGGUGAAAUGCGUAGAUAUUGGGAGGAACACCGGUGGCGAAGGUGGCUACCUGGACCGGUUCUGACGCUGAUGCGCGAAAGCGUGGGUAGCAAACAGG